rnacentral:rRNA from 1 species
GUAGGUGGCAAGCGUUGUCCGGAAUUAUUGGGCGUAAAGCGCGCGCAGGCGGUUCUUUAAGUCUGAUGUGAAAGCCCACGGCUCAACCGUGGAGGGUCAUUGGAAACUGGAGAACUUGAGUACAGAAGAGGAAAGCGGAAUUCCACGUGUAGCGGUGAAAUGCGUAGAGAUGUGGAGGAACACCAGUGGCGAAGGCGGCUUCCUGGUCUGUAACUGACGCUGAGGCGCGAAAGCGUGGGGAGCAAACAGGGAUUAGAUACCCUGGUAGUCCACGCCGUAAACGAUGAGUGCUAAGUGUUAGGGGGGUUUCCGCCCCCCUUAGUGCUGCAGCUAACGCAUUAAGCACUCCGCCUGGGGAUACGGCCGCAAGGCUG